CUUUCGGGAAGUUGAUUUCUCCUUGUGGCUGGGCAGUCAGUACCAGAGACCUCCCAGGCAGCAGCUGCUAACCGUCUAUGAUGGACAAGACUCACCUGACCAGUGUCGUGAUGAGGAGAGAAGGAAACUACUACAAAGUUGGAACAUUCCUGAUUUCUCUGUGCCCCUUCUGGGUGGAGAACUGGGACCACGUCUCUGACGGGACAACGAAAAUUAUAGGGCUUUGCAUUUGAUUAAAAUUAAAUGCAGGCCAGGAAGGCAGAGGAAAGCACAUUGAAGAUGACACAAAAGUCAUGCACGAUGAAGGCUAUACAAUG
rnacentral:lncRNA from 1 species